rnacentral:sRNA from 1 species
UUUGCCUUUUACUUCGUUUCGCAAAACGCGAUUACCCGAACCCAAAUUUCCCCCGCUGACCAAGUAUUUUGUGCUCAAAGAAUCACUAAACCUUGUUCAGGGAGUCUUUCUCUUCAACAAGCACGAGUAUUUUUGAGUCAAGACACUUUUCAUCGCGGGAAGAAAGCAUAAUUCGAAACGAAUGUUCUUUGGUUUGUAUCUUUCACCAUUUUGUUGGCUUUCCUUACUCGUAUUCUGCAGAGGCUCCAUGUGUCAACUGAACAUCAAACUAACAAGCACAUACCUUGGGGGCUUCCUGCAAUGCUUUGGAAGAUAAAGCCAACAGAUGUGCCUCAAUUUGCGCCCAUUUGUUGGACUCUGGCUGCACCGUUGCCGAUGCUGGUCAUUUCUGCCAGGCUGGUCACUUCCCCGUGCACUGAAUGCUAGUGGACAGGUUUAAUAUGCAGGAAGCCCAACAUGUCCACACUGUGCCGCAUCUCUAUUCGCGGCUCUCUUCAUUUGCUUCCGAUUCCCUUCGUUCCGUCAUUGUCUUCCAUGCUUUCUUUUUAUGUGUUCUGUACCGUAAACUAAUGUAAGUUGGAGUCUGACAAGUAUGAGUUUGCUGAAUGCUUCCAACGAUAUUUGAGCGCUUGAAUCGCGGUAUUUUCUGUUUCUGGCGUGUCCUUCAUAUAUCUUCCAGGCCACGGGAGAUGUGCUGAGAAUAUCCACUCGCGCCGAGCAUAAGAGACCGGUGACGCAGGCCUCGGGGCGCAAGGCACAACGCACACACUAGCUUCGGCUUCUGGUUCGUCUUCAGGGGCCAUUCCCUAUCCAAAAACAUGAUGCCGCAGUUGUUCGGGCAAUUUGCAUAUGGAAGGAUUAUCCUUUUGCACGUUCAAUCCUGUCCGCCUCGGAGAUCUUGCGAAACUGAUCUCUGUUUGGGCACAAAUCGUUCAAAAGGGCGACCAGCUGACAACACAACCAUGUUAAUAAAGAAUUAACUUACCAAUCAAGUCCGAAGAGACAUGCGGAUUUUCGAAUGCGAGGAGAAGCUUGCUCUCGAAGUGGAUUUGC